GAGAGUGAGAAAGAAGGCAUCGAACAUGAUGCAAUUGGAGAAUCUUCUCAAACACAAGCAGAAAGUAUAGACAUCAUGGUGAAUGCUGGAGAAACCAGCUCUGCAAUCAUAGAGAAUGUGUAUGACAAACUUGAGAGUCCAUCUGUCACAUUGGCAACAGACAGGUCAAGCAUGCAAGAAGAUGAUGUGCUUAAAGUAGGAGAUAAAGUAGACGAGACCUCUACUAUAGAAACCAAUGAGGAAAGCCAAUGCGCAAUCAACUUGAAUGAGAAUAAGAAAGAUGUGACCCCAAUCACUGAUGAAACCCAAGAGAAGCACAAUUUAGAUAUU
rnacentral:misc_RNA from 1 species